rnacentral:rRNA from 1 species
CGGACGGGUGAGUAACGCGUGGAAAACCUGCCGUAUACUGGGGGAUAACACUUAGAAAUAGGUGCUAAUACCGCAUAAGCGCACAGACCCGCAUGGGACAGUGUGGAAAACAAAAAGCUAAAGCUUUUUAUGGUAUACGAUGGUUCCGCGUCUGAUUAGCUUGUUGGCGGGGUAACGGCCCACCAAGGCGACGAUCAGUAGCCGGCCUGAGAGGGUGAACGGCCACAUUGGGACUGAGACACGGCCCAGACCCCUACGGGAGGCAGCAG